ACUCAAAUGAAUUGACGGGGACCCGCACAAGCGGUGGAGCAUGUGGUUUAAUUCGACGCAACGCGAAGAACCUUACCUGGACUAGAAUGUGAGGGAAUGUUGGGUAACACCAUCAGUCUGAGAAAUCAGACCCAAAACAAGGUGCUGCAUGGCUGUCGUCAGCUCGUGUCGUGAGAUGUUGGGUUAAGUCCCGCAACGAGCGCAACCCUUAACUUCAGUUGCCAUCAUUAGGUUGGGAACUCUGGAGUGACUGCCGUUGAUAAAACGGAGGAAGGUGGGGAUGAUGUCAAGUCAUCAUGGCCUUUAUGUUCAGGGCUACACACGUGCUACAAUGGCCGGUACAAAACGUCGCGAUCUCGUAAGAGGGAGCUAAUCGCAAAAACCGGUCUCAGUUCGGAUUGAAGUCUGCAACUCGACUUCAUGAAGUUGGAAUCGCUAGUAAUCGCGCAUCAGAACGGCGCGGUGAAUACGUUCCCGGGUCUUGUACACACCGCCCGU
rnacentral:rRNA from 1 species